rnacentral:rRNA from 1 species
AGAGUUUGAUCCUGGCUCAGAAUGAACGCUGGCGGCGUGCCUAACACAUGCAAGUCGAGCGAGAAAGCCCUUCGGGGUGAGUACAGCGGCGGACGAGUGAGUAACACGUGGGAAUUUACCCUUCAGUGAAGAAUACCAUCGAGAAAUCGGUGUUAAUACUGCAUACGUUCCUUCGGGAAGAAAGGUGGCCUCUAGCUGCCGCUGAUGGAUAAGCCUGCGGACUAUUAGCUUGUUGGUGAGGUAAAGGCUCACCAAGGCGAUGAUGGUUAACCGGCCUGAGAGGGUGUACGGUCACGUUGGAACUGAGACACGGUCCAAACUCCUACGGGAGGCAGCAGUGAGGAAUAUUGCGCAAUGGGGGGAAACCCUGACGCAGCGACGCCGCGUGGAGGAUGAAGGUUUUCGGAUCGUAAACUCCUGUUAAGUGGGAAGAAAGAAUUGCUUUUAAUAGAAGCAAGAGAUGACAGUACCACUAGAGAAG